rnacentral:tRNA from 1 species
GCCGGCGUAGCUCAGCAGGUAGAGCGGGGGAUUUGUAAUCCCCGGGUCGUCCGUUCGAGUCGGAUCGCCGGCUCCA